rnacentral:rRNA from 1 species
CGUGUAGGCGGCUUCUUAAGUCUGGUGUGAAAGCCCGGGGCUUACCCCCGGAAGGGCACUGGAAACUGGGAGGCUGGAGUACCGGAGAGGAAGGCGGAAUUCCUGGUGUAGCGGUGAAAUGCGUAGAUAUCAGGAGGAACACCGGUGGCGAAGGCGGCCCUCUGGACGGAUACUGACGCUGAGACGCGAAAGCGUGGGGAGCAAACAGGAUUAGAUACCCUGGUAGUCCACGCUGUAAACGAUGGGCACUAGGUGUUCGGGGUAUUGACCCCCUGAGUGCCGCAGCUAACGCAUUAAGUGCCCCGCCUGGGGACUACGGCCGCAAGGUUAAA